rnacentral:SRP_RNA from 1 species
GCCAGGCAUGGUGGCGCGUGCCUGUAGUCCCAGCUACUCGGGAGGCUGAGGCAGGAGAAUCGCUUGAGCCCAGGAGGCGGAGGUUGCAGUGAGACGAGAUCGUGUCAUUGCACUCCAGCCUGGGCAACAGAGUGAGACUCUGUCUCAU